AGCUCCAAUAGCGUAUAUUAAAGUUGUUGCAGUUAAAAAGCUCGUAGUUGGAUUUGUGGUUGCCCCCCUGGUCCCGCUCUGGGUGCUGUGGGGGGUGACCAUCCUUGGUUGGAUCUUGUGUGGCAUUAGGUUGUCGUGCAGGGGAUGGCCAUCGUUUACUGUGAAAAAAUUAGGGUGUUCAAAGCAAGCUUACGCUGUUGAAUAUAUUAGCAUGGAAUAAUGAGAUAGGACUCCGGUACUAUUUUGUUGGUUUGCGCACUGGGGUAAUGGUUAACAGAAACAGUUGGGGGUCUUCGUAUUCCAUUGUCAGAGGUGAAAUUCUUGGAUUUCUGGAAGACGAACUACUGCGAAAGCAUUGACCAAGGAUGUUUUCA
rnacentral:rRNA from 1 species